rnacentral:lncRNA from 1 species
UUAUUAUUCUUUAAUAUGUCAAAAGCAGUAGGGGGCCUUUUGUAUGCUGGUUUCUUCCCUUGCUUUUUUAAGAGGGUUUUCACUAGCUUAGAGUCUCCUAAAUUUCUUGGUACUACUUCAUACUUCGGUGUUUCUUGUACUAUCGUUCUAGAUGUAUGGGUUCUGUUAGCUCUCGUGAUUUCUGUUCUCCUCAUAUUUCUUUCGUCUAUUUGCCUGCUUAUUUUGUUAAUGACAGAAGAUCGGUAUCCAUGGUUUAUAGCUAUUUUGACUAUAUUUUCCAUUUCUUCUCACAAGGUUUCUUCUGUAUUACAAUGAGUUUUAGCCCUGUCUAUUAAGGAACUUAGAGCUGCUCUUUUAUGAGUCCAUUUGUUGUUACACCAUUUUGGGAUUAUCAAUGUGGCCCCUGUCAGUUUUCUAUAGAUCUUCAUUUAUAAACGAGCUGUCUUUUAUUGUCAGAUCAAUAUCCAGAAAAUGGGCAUGAGCGCUGCUUUCUUGAUCCAAUUUCAGCUUGAGACUGUAUGCUGGGAUAGUAAAUGCCUGUUUUAAUGUAUCCACUAUUUCUUGUCAUCUACAUAACAGCGAAUACAAUUUUGCUUCUUCAAUAACUGUUCAUAAUGUAGAUAUUUUUAAGUCUUUCAGAACUAGUUUUGCCAAAACUCCAGCAAGGGGGGCUUCCUAUGGGCACUCCUUCUGUUUGUCUAAAGAAGCUGCCUCUAAAUUCAAAAUACGAUUUAUUGCAUAGAGGAUCUGCUAUAUC